GUCACUUCUCUAGCAUCUAUGAUAUAACAGAGGCUUUAGCUCAAUGCAGAUCCAACCUUCCCCAAGCUAGGCAUUCAAAGAAAUUACCUUGUGAUUCAACAGCCAAAAAUUAAUGGUAAAGCACCUAUAACUCUCUCUCUACAUAUAUGUUUUUCAGCAAACCUAUGGAAAUUCUGCCUGAUUAGGUUUUUAAAACCUUUAUAUGAAAUGCUAGUCAAAAGGCAUACAGAUUUUUCUGGAAAAGGAACAACAGAUUAAUUUUAAUCCAUUUGGUUCUAAUAUAUGAUGGAAAAUCGAGGAAUAAGGAAGCCAAAGUGAGAUCGAAUGCCAUAACAUCUUGAGAGAGCAAAGGGAAGAAAUGAUAUUGUAGGAGCACAGAGGGAGCUGCAUCCUGGAGUCCUGUGGGGCUGCCCAGAACAGAAUGCUGAGGACUAAGCCACUGACCUCACUUUCUGUGCAUUGGCCAAACACAGCUGGAAACCAGAGUCCCAGGCAGUCCAGGACUUAAUGCUACCUGACAUAAUUGUGUAUCAACCACAUUGACCCUUGAACAACACAGAAGUCAGGAGCACUGAUACUCCUAUGCAAUAAAAAAUCCACGUAUAAUUCUUGACUCCCCCCAAACUUUACUCGUAUCCUACUAUGGACCG